AUGAAGGAUGGGGGGGUGGGAGGCUUCCAGGUGAUGGCCAAGUGGGAGAGAGACUGCAAGACACCAAAAGCACUUGUGGACUCCUUGAACGCUGUUCAACUACGACUGGUAGCAGGAUGUGCUCUGCGAACAGGUCUUUUGCCAGGUCAGAAGGUGGCUGUGUCUGCGCCCGCUGGAUUAUUCACUCCUCAACUCCCAGGACAAACAGGCAGCAUUAUGUGCUUACCAAACCCUCACCCCACAAAGCCGUCUGUGAUGGGCUUCGAGAUAAACCACGGAGAACGAGAACGGACCAAAGUUACUUCAUUUUCCUAGUCAAAAUCCAGCCAUAUUAAACAUGAAGCAAUGUUCCAGAACUGAGAAGUCACAACUGAUGGAAGAAAACCCUGAUGACAGACAGAGGUGGAAGGGGGACUGGAUGGGCUGGGCUCAACACAGAGUCACUGCAUUUUCAGCAAGAAGAACAAGUUUUUUUGUUAUCAGUUAUGGAGUAACGAGAGGGCAAAGUUUUCAAGCAAACAAACUCCUGAAGCACUCCUGAUGACUUUUACCAACGACUGCAAAGCAAGGAAGACAAAACAGAACUCUAUAGUUCAUUUACCGAAGCCUUCUUCAGAAGUCAAUUAAAUCCAGCAACAACUAGAAGGUCUUUCUUGCAAGAAGAUUACAUCCACUACGCAAAAUUCAUGUGCCCUGGAAAAAGACAUCCACAAGGAAUUACUUCCAAUCUUUAAUAAGAAAGACAAAUGGAAAGCAAGAAUCAAGGUCAGGGCUUCAGGUGUGAAAGUUCUACAGCAUUCCAGGUAAGAAUUCCAGGUGGGUCCUGAGUAGCAAGAAGGAUUCUAUGGAGCUUUGCCACAGUAAAGAUGCUUUAGGAAGUCUUGCUUAGAAAAGACUGCUCCAAAAAAAAAGUUUUGGUACAAGAACUACCGUGUCAGACUGAUCUGUAACACAAAGGCUGUGGGACUGCAGUAUUUCUGACAACACUCUGCAUGUUACUACAAUCUCCAAAGUUCCUGCAUGGAAACAAAGGAUGAAGGGAUCAGAGCACAGCACUUUCUGUGGUGAAACCACCCUGCCUGGGCAGCUGGGCACUGAAGGAUGGAACAAAACCUGCAGCACCUCAUUAGAGCAACAGAAACUGCUGCCUAAUAGAUGCGACAGAGAAAGGGAACAAAGGAGAUAGUGCGGCUGCUGACCUGUGCUGAAGGGCACACACCACAGCUCAGCUUGGUUUAAGAGCAGGCCGCACUCAGCACGCAACAGAGACAAACCAAGAGAUGGUUCCAAAAAGUUCUGACAAUAAAUGCAGCCUUUUAUUAGCA
rnacentral:lncRNA from 1 species